GCUUACACAUGCAAGUCGAACGCCCCGCAAGGGGAGUGGCAGACGGGUGAGUAACGCGUGGGAAUCUACCCAUCUCUGCGGAAUAGCUCUGGGAAACUGGAAUUAAUACCGCAUACGCCCUACGGGGGAAAGAUUUAUCGGGGAUGGAUGAGCCCGCGUUGGAUUAGCUAGUUGGUGGGGUAAAGGCCUACCAAGGCGACGAUCCAUAGCUGGUCUGAGAGGAUGAUCAGCCACAUUGGGACUGAGACACGGCCCAAACUCCUACGGGAGGCAGCAGUGGGGAAUAUUGGACAAUGGGCGCAAGCCUGAUCCAGCCAUGCCGCGUGAGUGAUGAAGGCCUUAGGGUUGUAAAGCUCUUUCACCGAUGAAGAUAAUGACGGUAGUCGGAGAAGAAGCCCCGGCUAACUUCGUGCCAGCAGCCGCGGUAAUACGAAGGGGGCUAGCGUUGUUCGGAAUUACUGGGCGUAAAGCGCACGUAGGCGGAUAUUUAAGUCAGGGGUGAAAU
rnacentral:rRNA from 1 species